AACCUCCACAAUACACGAAAGUGUGAUGGGGUCAUCCUGAGUGCCGUCUGAUGAAGAUGGCUUUUCAUCGGCCUAAGGAGCCGGUGGAAUAAGGGGAGGGCAAGGCUGGUGCCAGCCGCCGCGGUAAAACCAGCUCCUCGAGUGGUCGGGGUGAUUAUUGGGCCUAAAGCGUCCGUAGCCGGUCUGGUAAGUCCUUGGUUAAAUCCGGCAGCUUAACUGUCGGCUUGCUGAGGAUACUGCUAGACUUGGGGGUGGGAGAGGCUAAAGGUACUUCCAGGGUAGGGGUGAAAUCCUAUAAUCCUGGGGGGACCACCAGUGGCGAAGGCGUUUAGCUGGAACACGCCCGACGGUGAGGGACGAAAGCUAGGGGAGCGAACCGGAUUAGAUACCCGGGUAGUCCUAGCUGUAAACGAUGCGAGCUAGGUGUUGAUCCGGCUACGAGCCGGAUCAGCGCCGAAGAGAA
rnacentral:rRNA from 1 species